ensembl:misc_RNA Y_RNA Y RNA
GGCUGGUCUGAGUGCAGUGGUGUUUACAACUAAUUGAUCACAACCAGUUACAGAUUUCUCUGGGCCUUCUCCACUCCCACUGCUUUACUUGACUAGCCUUUU